rnacentral:rRNA from 1 species
CCUACGGGAGGCAGCAGUGGGGAAUCUUGCGCAAUGGGCGAAAGCCUGACGCAGCCAUGCCGCGUGAAUGAUGAAGGUCUUAGGAUUGUAAAAUUCUUUCACCGAGGACGAUAAUGACGGUACUCGGAGAAGAAGCCCCGGCUAACUUCGUGCCAGCAGCCGCGGUAAUACGAAGGGGGCUAGCGUUGCUCGGAAUUACUGGGCGUAAAGGGAGCGUAGGCGGAUAGUUUAGUCAGAGGUGAAAGCCCAGGGCUCAACCUUGGAAUUGCCUUUGAUACUGGCUAUCUUGAGUACGGAAGAGGUAUGUGGAACUCCGAGUGUAGAGGUGAAAUUCGUAGAUAUUCGGAAGAACACCAGUGGCGAAGGCGACAUACUGGUCCGUUACUGACGCUGAGGCUCGAAAGCGUGGGGAGCAAACAGGAUUAGAUACCCUGGUAGUCCACGCUGUAAACGAUGAGUGCUAGUUGUCGGCAUGCAUGCAUGUCGGUGACGCAGCUAACGCAUUAAGACACUCCGCCGUCGGGGAGGUACGGUCGCGAGAAUUAAACUACGAAGAAGUUAGACGGCGUGAGACGUGCCGACGGACGACGACGAGGGAGGAGG